GGCCGAGUAGGCAGCGAGUUGUAGCCUCGCGCACGGGCGUAAGUGCCCCCCGACCAG
rnacentral:tRNA from 1 species